rnacentral:tRNA from 1 species
GGAGAGGUGGUUGAGCGGCUGAAAACAGCACCCUGCUAAGGUGUUAGUCCUUCACGGGACUCGAGGGUUCGAAUCCCUCCCUCUCCGCCA